UUUAAAAUGUGCUAUUAGGAAUCAUUAUUUUUUGCCAAAGGGCUAUAUUCUUGCACAAAGGGUUACGAUUUCUUCUUGAUUAACCUGUUUUUAUCUUUGACCUCUGUAUACAGUUGUAGCCAUAGUACAGGCUGGAUGUGUAAUAAUAGUUUCACACUAGUGAGCUCUGAAUCAACACAUCUACUCGCCCCUGAGGGGCCUCAUGUACAUUUAGUUUUUGGUCCACCUGCUGAUAAUCCCAUUUUUUUGUUAUUUUUUUUUUGUGUGUGUUUUAUUGGUUUUGCAUACACAGAUAUACAUUGAUAUCAAUAACUUAUAGUGAAAAUAGAACAGGCAAUAUUGGUAACUUCGUGCGCUGAUCAAUAUAACAUAACAUUAUGCGCUAAGCAGUACAACAUGGCAUAACUGUUCGUGCCAAGAUCCAUGGGAAACACUUUGGCAUUUAAAUGUAUGAGAACAUUGGUAAUAGCUCGGGUAAGUAUGUCUCGUUGGGUUGGAGAGCUGGUCUGGGAAAUCAAGCAUGGGGUACAGUGCAUCCUUAUGUAGUAUGGGCAAACUUAUACAUUAAUAUUCAGCAGUCACGGUCUUGUUCUCGGGGAAUAAAGCUUAGGCUCCAUUUUUGAUGUGCUUUCUUUUGGAUCUUCCGUAGCUGCCAUGUCGUAUUUACCAGAAGACGCUACAACGGGGUCUGUGUUCAGCAGCUUCAGUUUUCAGUUUGCACCUUUAGUGUCUCUGGGUCUUGAUCUGAUGUGAGGGAAAUGGUCUUGUUUCCUUGUGGGACCAUUAGGCUCCAUCUGUGCCCUAUCUGUGCUGGACCAAUCGUUCUCUCAGUAUCUUUGCAACCUGCGCUCACCACUACAAUGUCUCUUGGCACAUCAGCUGGGGCUAUGACAGCCUUUCGGAUCCAGAAUGCUAAUUUCAGCAUGGUUGGGUCCUCUCCCCCUUUGAGGCCCAUAAAUAUAAACCGUCUCUUGGUGUAGGGUAAAAAAACUUCCUCACUGACCUUUUUCUGGGACUCCACUCAGUUGGACAUUCUGUUAUCUGUGGCGGAAUUCCAAGGAGGCCAUAGUUUUUUUUGCAUCCUUUGGACUUGUUAGCUCCUUCAUAUGUGUCUCUGUGGCUUGUAGCCUAUCACCCCGUGCUCUCUCUCUCUCUCCUCUGCUUUUUUGAGCUUCUAUGCUUUCCACACUUUGCGGAGGUCCAGGAGCAGCCUUUUGAUAUCCCCUUUUGUUGAGGGUGUUUGGUGUUCCUCAGACUCUGAUUCCUGGUCCACUUCGCUGUGGUGGGCAGAAUCAGGAGAUUCAAACCUCCUUAUGUAACUCUUUAGAUUCUGCUGCAACGUGACUCGCUUCAGGUGCCAUCUUAUGUGUUUCUCGCAUUGCAGGCCUCAUAAAUUAGUCUAUCGGGGAUUUGUGGGCUCUCUGGCACCCAAAACAUUUUAUUUUUGCGGCCCAUACUGUCAUCUGGUAGGGGCAAUGUUUUAGUGCUCGUCCAGAGUGAAUCGCCAAGGCAAAGCAUCUCUCUGUUUGGAUGGAGCUCCACAGGGACAU
rnacentral:lncRNA from 1 species